rnacentral:tRNA from 1 species
GAAGGUUGAGCUCAGUGGUAGAGCCCAUGCUUAGCAUGCAUGAGGUCCUGGGUUCAAUCUCCAGGGCCUCCA